UACGGAAGGGGCUAGCGUUGUUCGGAAUUACUGGGCGUAAAGCGCGCGUAGGCGGCCUGGCAAGUGAGGCGUGAAAGUCCUGGGCUCAGCCCGGGGACGGCGCUUCAGACUGUUUGGCUGGAGUCCGGAAGAGGGUGGUGGAAUUCCGAGUGUAGAGGUGAAAUUCGUAGAUAUUCGGAGGAACACCGGUGGCGAAGGCGGCCACCUGGUCCGGUACUGACGCUCAAGUGCGAAAGCGUGGGGAGCAAACAGG
rnacentral:rRNA from 1 species